rnacentral:pre_miRNA from 1 species
AUACUACUCCCUCCGUCCGGAAAUACUUGUCUUAGGAAUGGUUGUAUCUAGACUUAUUUUAGUUAUAGAUACAUCCAUUUUAUCCAUUUCUAGGACAAGUAUUUCCGGACGGAGGGAGUAUUGU